rnacentral:tRNA from 1 species
GAGGGUAGAGCUCAGUGGUAGAGCGCAAGCUUAGCAGGGCACAAGGUCCUGGGUUCAAUCCCCAGUACCUCCA